ACCAUAUGUGAAAAUUGCCACAAAGGAGUAGAGAAUACAGACAUACAGAGUAAAAAUGGGCAAAGGAUGUGCCCACGUAAUAAUUGCCUACACUUUCAGGGUUUUCCUGCAAAACUUCCCCUGAGCACUAGAUCCAUUUCCUAGGUUCUGGUGAUAAUAAAACGAUAGUGGCGGUCACUGUAGUGGGGCAUCCGCCCUGUGCUGGGGCGCCGCUGGUGUCACAGUCCACCUGCUGCCCCCUCUCAGCGCCUGUACCCAGGCCCACCCUCCACAGGGAACACCCCGGCCCUCCUGUGAGCUCACGAGGCGCCUGUCUUUCCGUCAUUGCACAUACAGCGUGUUUACCUGUGGUUUACCUGUUCCCUAGUCUCCCUCCCCCGGGGGCAGGGCAUGUCUGUCUGUUCACCACCGAGUCCCCAGGGCCUCAGGUGGCCUACACCCUCAAUGAGUAUUUGUUGAGUGGCUGCAUGACCUCAUUUAAGCUUCAUGCAACUCUCUGAGAGGUUUCAUUAUUCUCAUUUUAUUUUAUCUUCACCUUCCUUUCUCUUAUCUGCAUGUUUGGAUUUAUCAUUUUAGUCUUGCUUUCUUAAGUAAGGGAAGAUAGCAGUUAGUUUUUAAAGUGCACUUGCAGUGCACGAUCAGGGUAGCUGCUCUGGUGCCAGGCCUGUGGCUUCUCAGUCCCGGCUCCGGUCACAGGCUGCUCCCCGGCACCAGGGUGGCAUCCGGCUCGGAAGCCUGGGGGCAGCACUGAUUGGGCCCCGAGGAGGGCAUGUGACCCGGCUGGGCCAAUCACAAUCCUUCCCUGGAAUUUUUUGAACUGGACCAGAGAAGGGGAGCUUUCUUUUUGCUCUGCUCAGGAGGCGCCCCCAGAGCUGCUUGGGGCCGUCUGCUCUGAGAGGUGGAGAGGGCCUGCCCUGAGCAUGUGGUGGCUGCACCAGGGUCCCUGAAGCCAGUCCCACCCUAUCCUUCCUGGAGGCUGUUACUUGAACCAACACAUCAGGGUCCUUCCUGAGCUCCAGGGCAGGGUUUCUAUCACCUGCAAGCAUAGUAGCCUGACUACAUGCCCCGGCAACUCCACCGUGCACACGGGGAACUCGGCCUGGAGCAGCUGUGGGCAGCCGAGCUCUGUGCGUGAGAAUGAUGAGAAGAGCCUGCCUGCUGCGGCGCCACAACCAGGGCAGGCCCAGAUGGACCAUCCCAAGCCCACAUGCAUCUCCCACUCUGACGGGCCGUUUAUUAUCCCUGGAGCAGGGGCACCCCCAGGCCUUCUCCUGCAGGGGACCUGCAGAGCACCCGGCAAGACAGAUCUGGUGCUGUCACUCCCGCCUGAGAAAAAGUCUGCCCCUCAGGUACAUGCAGCUCCUCCUACCUGGAAACUCCUGCCCUAAGCCCCUCUCCACCUCAGGAAUCUGUCAAGAGGCCUUUCCCAUACUGCCCUCCCCGAACCUGGGGGAGAUGCCCUCCUGCACCCUCGUCAUGGCCCCAUCACAGCUGCUCACGUGUCCCAGGAGGUAGGGGACCCCUUGAUGCAUGGCCAUGGCUUCCUGCCCCCACCUGUCCUGGGGUACAAGUGUCCAGGACCCACACACAGGCUCUGCAGAGACUGAUUUACUGUGUCUGCUCUAGAAUGAGUGGCUGAUGGAGGGCCAUCCUCACCCACAAAGAAAAGCCCACCUGCUCCUCAUUUGUGCCUCAAAUAUUCCUCGAACACCGUCCUCCCCACCCCCACCCCGCGCCCAGGGGCACUAAAAGAGGAUGAGGCACCAGGCGGGGAAGGUGGGUCCUAGGGUCCCCCCACCAGGCUCCCUGGAUCCCCUUUUGUCCUCCCUGUCCCUUAAUGUGUCCACAGUGUGGCCGGGGGCACCCUCAGCAUCCUCUCAGCCCAUGACCCUCAACAGAGGGCACAGAGAAAGCCCUCGCUGCCUGGGAGGGGAGGCUGGGAGGCGGGACACACAGGUGAACAGACCUCGGAGCUCACCAGGCCGCCCAAUAAUUUCACAGACAGGGAAAUGGACGGAGCCUCAGAGAGGGGGCCCUUCUCAGUUCUGGGACUGCGGGGGUCCUUUUCCUGCCAAGAGGCCUGGCUUGUUCGGGGGCAGGGAGCCCGCCCAGCAGGGGUGUGGCCGCUCGGGGCUGGUGUGGGAGCAGCUCUGAGGCUGGACGGAGGAAGAGCCAGGUCUGCCCUGGUGCCAUGGGAGAGCUGUGCUCUCUUGACAGAUACUAGGGGACAUCGUCCCCUCCUCCCUGCCCUGCCUGGGCAGCCGUAAGACAAAGGUGGCCACGCCUGGUCCCCCAAAGUCAGCCCCGCCAUCUUCUCUUGUGUAAGAGAUGCAACCCCGGCUUGCACAGAAGACAAACCCAUGCCAGAGGAUGCGCCACUGCAGCCGCACUUCCGUGCGGGGCCACGCUAGCUGGGGGCUGAUGAGCCGUCCAAGCAAGCAUGCGGGGCGCUGACCGGUGCCCCCCAGUCCUUCCCAGACGCGCCACCCACAGCCCGCUCUUGACACCCCUGUUCAGCGUUGGCAGAGCUCCAGAAACGGCUGCCCUCCCACCCACACCCUCGUGUCUGGACAUGGUAGGGUGACAGGGAGGGUGCUGAGGACGUGCGCAGGAUCUGAACGCGGUGCUGUGUGAGGAACGCGGACGCUUGCGGUGGGGAGGACGAUGGAGAAGGUGACAGUCACCUCCCGCCCGCGCAGGGCACUUCACCCAGAUCCCCCAUGGAAUUCUCACGCCAGGCCCAGGUGGCUGUCCUCAUCCAAGCCGAGGCCCAGAGAGGGGCGGUCACUCGCUGAGACCCACAGCGUGUAGGUGGUGGGGCUGGGUUUCCCCCAGGCUGCCUCACAGUCCAAACGAUGGAAUAUGAUUCGCCAGAAAGAGAAAUGAGGUCUUAAUUCGUGCUGCAAUGUGGAUGAGCCUUGAAAACAUCACGCUGAGUAAGAGGCCAGACACAAAGGCUGCGUUUCACACGAUCCCAUUUGUGUGAACCAGCCAGAACUGGCAGGUCCAGGAGACAGGAAGAGACCAGGGCAGGGUGGGGUGUGACUGCUAAGGGGCACAGGGUUUCUUUUAGGAGAGAUGAACGUGUUCUAAAAUUAGGCAGUGAUGACGGUUGCACAGCUCUGUGAACAGACUAAAAACCACUGAAAUUGGACAUGUUACAUGAGUGAAUUGUAUGCUCUGUGAGUUAUCUCAAGAAAGCUGUUUUAAAAUCAAAGCAGACCCAGAACUGAGGCACCUUCUGAACAGCACGCACCGCCCCGGCUCCUAGGGACAAGGGGCCGGCGGAGGGCGGAGGGCAGGGGCCGAGGCCCCUCGGCCAGGCCGCCGUGGGUCUGGAGGCUCGGGGAAGGCAGGUCAGUGCGGCCGGGCUGUCCGGAGAGGCAGGCACGUAGGAGGAAGACCUAAAAUAACUCUCAGGACCUGAAACUCCGGGCAGAAGUUGAGGGUGGUGUGGUCACGGCGAAUGGGGAACUGAUCUGCUCGCGGAGGGAAAGGAGAAGUUUUAUUUGGGGGACGUCAGGGUGAGGCGGCGGAGGUGGCGAAGAAAGGAUUCUGACGUGGAGACACUCCUGUUUCCAGUGCCCUUAGGCAUCACGCACUUUGGUGGAAGGAGCCCGCGAGAGGAGAGGGAGAAGUUCCGUCCCCAGAUCAGAGACCAAGGCCUGGGGCAGGCGGAGAGCCCAGCGCGGGGGUGUCCCAUCGCCCGCUGCUGCCCUUGGAGGGGCCCUGCAGACCCCCGGGCCCACUGGGCUCCUCUCUGAGCCCCACCACCCCCGGCCCCGCCAGGUGCUCAUUUGUGAGCUGAGAGCUGCUCCCGGCAGCACCCAGGGCUGGGGACACGAGGUCCUCCUGGCGUCUGAGUUCCAGCAGGCCCUGGAGGACCAGGGCACGAGGGGGGCCCACCCUUCCCCAUUGAUAAAGGGGGUGGGGAGAGGCUCUGUGCAGGGCGUCAAGGGCACACAGGAGGUGCUGUGACCACUGACGGGCUCUGAGGGGUACGGCCGCCUCCCCUUUGGGGCAGCGGGCUCAGAGCCACCCUGGCCGUUGACGUGGGUUUGUGCGGAGGGGCCUGAGGGGAGCCUCGUGGGCUGGGGCAGUCCCCUGGGCGGGGGUCGUCAUGGGACGGCAGCCCCCAGCUCCAGGGGCCCGGAGGUCUCGAAGGGAAGGUGAGGACAGAGGCAGGAGGAGCGUGGACAUGCUGCCCCUGUCUAGCUCAGGCACAGGAGAGAUGCUCUGGAAGUCGGUGGACACGAGGCUGUGACCGGCAGAGGCCAGGACGGGGAGCAAGACGGAGGGAAACUGAGAGCAGGAGAGGGGAAUAGGGGAGAAGGGUCCCAGGGAUGUUCGGAGUCUCCUCUUUCCUCCCAGCCGCUUGGAAAAGUGAUGGAGAGAAAAUGGGGAGAGGGAAACGCUGGUGUCCAGGACCCUGGUGGGGAAAGGCUGGAUCUUUGUUUAAAAAGACCAGUCGAGGGACUUCCCUGGUGGUUCAAUGGUUAAGACUUCGCCUUCCACUGCGGGGGGUACAGGUUUGAUCCCUGGUCAGGGAGCUAGGAUCCCACAUGUUUUGUGGCCAAAAAACCAAAAAACAUAAAACAGAAGCAAUAUUGUAACAAAUUCAGUAAAGACUUUAAAAAAUUAAAAUAAAAUAAAAUAAAAAGACCAGUCAAUUUCCCGCGAAGAUGAGUCCCUUGGCCCCUCGGAGGGAUAGAUGCCUGCAGACAUGAGAGCAGACCCUUCGGGUCCCCGUCCCAGCUCCCACCGCCUGAGCUCAGGAGGCCCUGCAGACAAGGCAGGAGAGCAGUGAUUUCCCAGCCCGGGUUUUGGACAGUGCGGUCUCCCCCUCCUCCUCCAAGUUCAGCGGGGAUGGCCACUUGUGAAAUGGCCCCAUGGGGCCGUGGCCGGGUGGAUGGACCUUGGGCGCAGAGGUUUUUUGAAAACAGCAGAGAAGUUGUGAAAUUAGAAGCCAGAAAGUCCUGGUUUGGGAAGGAGCUUCAGAAGUGGGGACCGGACCCCCCAUCCUGGGCGUAACCAGAAGUCUGCCGACUGGGGCUUCUACAGAAGCCUUGCUUUCUUUAUAAGAAGGGGCUGGUCCAGUUUUUGUCCUCUGCACCUUCUCUUUUCCUCUUUUUUCCUGCUCGGGAGGCAGAUGUGACGCCUGGAAGUGACACAGCCACUUUGCAGCUAGGAAGCCACAAGUAAGAGGAGGUAGGAUAGAAAGAGUAAACUAGCCUGUGUCCCGGACGGCUGACCAGCCUCCACGGCCUGCCUCUGAGUUUUUGUUACAAGGACAAAGACACACAAACCCUGUCCUACUGCUGUUAGGUUUUCUGCUAUUUGCAGCUGAACACAAUCCUUUUGGAGACAGGGUUCGAAUCCUUCAUGGAUGGGGUUGCCAGAUUUAGAAAACAAAAAUACAGAUGCUCGGUUAAAUUUCAACUUCAGAUAAGCAGUGAAUAAUUUUCCGCACGAGUGUGUCCCAGGCAGUAUUUGGGACAUACUUAUACUAAAAUAUUGUUUAUCUGAAAUGUGAACUUUCAUGGACGAAGUUACAGAACCCAGAGAGGUUGCACAUCUUGUCCGAGGUCUCGUCCUGAGCAAGCGGUGGAGCACAGGCUGUGUCCUCCUUCUCCGGGGCCUCUAGGGCUUCCUAAACCCUGCCUUAAUGAUGCACAAAGGAGACUCAGAAGAGCCAUGUGACUCACCGCCCAGGACAAAGCAAUCGAGCUAAGAGUGGUCCAAAGACGAGAGUCGUGCAGAAAGCGACGGUCGGUGGUGGUGAAGCUUCUGCUCCAGUUGGAUGCUGUCAUGACAUUUUAAUUCCAUUUGACAAAAGUACCAGCCGGGGAUGGGGGACAGUAGCUCCCCAUGGACGGUGUGCGACCACCGGCCAGGACUGGCCCCAGGAGCACCGUGCUGUGAAGGAUGCUGAGGCCUCCUCUGCGCUCAGCAGAAAGGCACAGGUUCCCAGGACCCACGUGUCAGCGGUGGCAUUCGCUGGGUCCCGAGGAGCGUCGUUACUCUCAGCGUCUCCUUUGGUCCUGGGGGCGCUUGGCACCCCCCAGUGCGGGCGUCCGCAGAGCCUGAUGUUACAACAGGAAGCACGGCCCCUGCCCCAGCCCCUGGCAAGCCCGAAUCUGCGUCCAUCCCUGUGGAGUGGCCUCUCGUGGACCUUUCGUGUGAGUGGCGUCGUAUAAUACACGGCCUUUUGGGUCCCGCCUCUUUCAGCUGAACCCAUCUCAGUGCUUUGCCUCAGGGUAUAAAGACCCAGUGAGUCUCCGGGCCUCCCCUGCCUUCGUCUGAUGGAAACACCUGUCCCAAAUGAGUGACAAGGCAGAGGGCCACCCGUGUCCUCAUGUCCAGCCAGGCUGCCAAGGCCUGCCCAAGCCUCAAAAGCCUGGCUCAAGAGUGAAUGAUUACAGGGACUUCCUUGGCAGAGCAGUGGUUAAGAAUCUGCCCGUCAAUGCGGGGGACACGGGUUCGAUCCCUGGUCUGGGAGGAUCCCAUGUGCUG